AAAAAAGUGGAGACACAAAUCCAAAGAGCAGCGUUGUGGCAAUCAAAGAACCUCUCCUUCCAUUCCAUAUAUUAUCCGUCUGGUAGGAAUCCAAAAUAAAUCCACCACACAACACCCUCUUUCUUUUUUCUUUUAUAACUCUUCAAAUAUCUAACCAGACUGAAUUUCAUUGUUUUUGAGAAGAUCCCAUCAACAUCCUCCGUUUUUUUUUUUUUUAUGUUUUAUGAGAUGAAGUAUGCGCAAAAUCCUCUCCACAACAGAACCAUCACCAUAGCAUAUGGAAGGCAAUGAAAACACCACUCAAAAGGAUUACUACAAAAUUUUGGAGGUUGAUUAUGAUGCAACAGAUGAGAAGAUAAGACUAAAUUACCGAAGGCUUGCAUUGAAGUGGCAUCCUGAUAAGCACAAGGGGGAUAAUGCAGUUACUACCAAAUUUCAAGAGAUUAACGAAGCUUACAAUGUAUUGAGGGAUCCAGAUAAACGCUUCGAUUAUGACUUAACUGGAAUAUAUGAGAUUGAUAAGUAUACUUUGCGGGAAUAUCUGACCAGAUUUAAAGGAAUGAUACUUACGUGCAAUGGUCUUGGUAUUGGUAAUACAUCAAUAUGAUGGGAUGUCAAUGGAGUUCUCCUGUCAUAUGGAACUGUAAUUAGAAGGAUGCCUAUAUGGUUUAUGGUGAAUUUACUGGAAUUGAAAUUGCGGGGAUGUAUGAAUGAUCUUAUAGGACCCAGCAACUGACUGAAAUCAAAGAGUUUGCAGAGAAAUAAGGAGCAAAUCCAGUAUUUAACCUUUCAGGGAUGAAAACAUGGAUACCAUUGUGUGAAAACAACAUGGGAACAGCUUCGCCAUAAAUGAAGGUGGAGGAGCUACUUGCCAUGUUACAUCGAGGAUGAAAACUUGAAUCCAAAUUAUUGCCAGCAUUCUUGUAUCUUGUUUAUCUUUAUCAUACAUUUCAUGCACAACCAAGUAUGUCAUUAGCCUAUUGAUUUUGUUUUCAAAUGAGCACAAAGUCACUACUCUUUUUUGUUCU